UACAGAGGUCCCGAGCGUUGUUCGGAUUCACUGGGCGUAAAGGGUGCGUAGGUGGGCAGGUAAGUCAGCGGUGAAAUCUCCGAGCUUAACUCGGAAACUGCCAUUGAUACUAUCUGUCUUGAAUAUCCUGGAGGUGAGCGGAAUAUGUCAUGUAGCGGUGAAAUGCUUAGAUAUGACAUAGAACACCAAUUGCGAAGGCAGCUCACUACGGGGUCAUUGACACUGAGGCACGAAAGCGUUGGGGAUCAAACAGG
rnacentral:rRNA from 1 species